rnacentral:rRNA from 1 species
UACAGAGGAUGCAAGCGUUAUCCGGAAUUAUUGGGCGUAAAGCGUCCGUAGAUGGUUUUUUAAGUUUAAUGUUAAAUUGCAGGGCUUAACUUUGAAAAUGCAUUGAAAACUGAAAAACUUUAGUACGAUAGAGGCAAAGGGAAUUUUCAGUGUAGCGGUGAAAUGCGUAGAUAUUGGAAAGAACACCUAUUGCGAAGGCACUUUGCUAGGUUGAUACUGAAAUUGAGGGACGAAAGCUAGGGUAG